AUUGAAACACUGGUUCCCAUACAAUCACUGAAGUUAAGCAAGGUUAAGCCUGGUCACUACCUAGAUGGGUGACUGCUUGACAAUACCAGGUACUGUAAG